UCAGCAACCUCAUCACUAGCACAUUUCCCUCCACGCUGGCUUCAGCCGGACGGUCCUUCAGCGUGUCCUGGCUCUGGAGGAACCCAAGAGUCCCUGGAAUCGUUUCGUUUCUGUGGAUGCAGGGAGGAGAGAACAAAAGGAACUAAGAAGUUCUGGAUUCCUGAUAAAAGAAUCAAGUUAAGGCAUGGCGAGCAAGAGGAAGCGUGAUGAGGCGGGACUGGAAGACCGGUUUGCGCAGCUAAUCUUCAAGGGAGGACAAACAAUUCGCACGCCGUUGCCUCGCACCCGAAACACUCCUCCACCUACAUGGGGACAGGUGAAGCGCCUAUGCCUGUGAAUGCCCAUGGAAGGCCCUGUAACUAAUGACUCUAAUUGGAUAGCUGGACUUUUUGAAGAUCGUGGGCCUUUGAAACCAGAUGCCGGAAUGCCUGUGUAUUUGGGACUGGGUAAUCAUUGUUUGCAAUUGGGUUUUAAAGCCUGGUUAAAUGUAGCUAAAAACACCACUAAUUCUUGAAAGGACUAGUUCAAUGGACUCAAACUACUAGGGAAAUAUCUUGUUUUAAUUGUACCUUGUUAACUUGUGUACCUUAUAAUGAAAUAGCUUUGCUAUUUUCUCUGUCAUAAUUCAAACCUGCAGCAAAACUAAAAAGGGGGAAAAUGUAGAUGAACAAUUGGAACGAAAAGUAACCAGAGGAGGACGCUCUGCCAGGGAAAGGUGGGGGCCUGCAAGCGGGCCACGUCAGAACAAAGUCUUGCACGCAAGACUUAUUGUUCAAAGGCAAAACUUUUCUUGAGGUGAUAAAUAGUCCAUGAGGGCAUGGAAAGUUUAAGGGAGGGUGCACUGCUGCAGGUGGAAAGGGUCUUUGUAUAACAUAGGAAAUUAAUAGUGUAAUGUAUAACUUAGCUUAGAUGAUCUCAUAGGCAUGCCUGUUAAUCAUUGUCACUUGCUGUACUCCAUUGUUAUUUGCUGUACUCCCCAAAUAAAGGCCAUGAGAGCUUUGGGGGCUUUGCUACACGCCUGAGCUAGCGGUAGCCCUCUGCUCUACUUCAUCCUACACGCCAA